GUGAGGCUUGAUGACAAAUUUGAAGGGAGAACUUGGAGCAGUUAUGAGAGACUCCAUGUUUCCUCACCUUCCCUCCUAGCUGCCCAUUCAGAUUUUCCAGGAGUGCUGUGAAAUAAGCUUUUUAUCUCCAACAGCAGUUCGCAUCCAGUCCUGGAGCAGGUUGUGCUUUUCCAUGAGGAAACAUCUAGGAGCUUUGGGCUGCUCAGUGGCAUCUCCAAAACGUUAGUGGAUCUCCAGUUAUCUUCACAUGAAAUAGACUUGUGAAAACCCAUCACUGCUGCUGGCAUUACUAGUUUAAGGCUAGCUGGGUGUAGACACUAAUUUUGCCUCUUGUUCCUUGGGGUGGGCUACCAGGGCAGGACAUCAAUGAAGCAACCAGGAGGACGUGGCACCACUUCUGUAUGUGCAGGACUUCAGUCUCCAAUGGUUUCAUUCCGGCACCUUUUCCCACAGUAGAAGUAUCGGAGAAUUUUGUUCAUGUUCUACAGGCAGCAUUAAAUUGGAUGUUUUAAGCUGAGAAUAUUUUCCCAGCCCCUGACAAGGGUUAGGCACACAGCCCCAAGGUGGGCAAAGUAUGUGACUGCCAUCAAACUAAGCAGCCGUGUUCACCUUGUCUUGGAUUUCUUCAUAUGAGACAGGGGAUGAUCCAUAAAAGGAAAUGCUAAGGCUACACAGGUUGUCAAGUAUCUAGUGUAACCAGGUGUAAUGAUUGAGGUUUUGCAGGCGAGCUGCAGUUAAGGGAAAAUAUAAUGGAUCAUGGGGCAAAUCUAUUCCUGAUGCAACUCCACCAUCUUCAGUAAGAGUUACUCCCGUGUGAAUAUGGCCCCGUGUUCCUCACUCGUAAAAUAAGGAAUAUCCCUCCUGCAGCAGAAUCAGUUGGAAAAGGGAGAGGGGAAAAAUGCUUCCUUCUAACCCACAUUAAAAAUAAUCACUUUCUGUUGCACAAGGGGGCAGGGAAAACCAGAGUAGAAUUUCCUCAGUAUGUCAAAGGGGGGUAGGAAAUGGCAUAACCAAGAGGUCUCUUUCAUCUCUGCUCAGUUCUAAACAAUACAGGGAAGAGGGAAAAGCACAUCUAUAUAGAUACCUGUAUAUAAUCUGUAAUCUAUAACUAUAGCUAUAUAUAGAUAGAUAACUAUAUAUCUAUAUAACUAGAUAUAUUUUUCUUCCCAGAUUAUGUCACCAGUGUGAGAUCUGGAGAUAUUUAGGAGGAAUUUUGCACAAACACAGAGUGAUUUAGAAAAAAAAAAAAAAGGAUUAUAUUCUUCCUGUUGAUUAGACCUGUUGUUUAAAAAUAGUAAAAUAUAUGUGUUUUAAAUGCCUGCUAGAUUUUUCACUGCUGUGUGGUGUUUUCUGUCUCAGCUUUCUCUUCCCGUUUGGCAGGUCUACUGUGUACGUGAGCUCUACGGGAAUGCAGAAAAGCCACCUGAGGGAGAAAAUUGCUAAUCACUAAAAAAUUACUAAUCAUUCUUUCCCACUAAACAAAUCCCACUGAGAGGUUUUUAGUUACACAAAGGUGAAUUUUUUUUUUCUUCCUUUUUUCACUCUUUCCUCCAGCUAAUGAUACAGAGGUGCAAAAUGCAGGAUAUCACAUCCUACUAUGCAUUAGCGCAGCAUUUUCACAUGAUAAGAUCUAGAUCUGAGUCCAAAAUAAAAGCACAAUAGCCUGAAAAUCUUCUAAUGCACACUGCUAGCACUUCGCAACUAAAACAGAAGGAAAAGCAAUUCAGACAGUCACAGAAUAAUCUUUCUGAGGUUAUUUCUGUUCCAGCAGUGGUGACGUUCCUUUGCUGAGAGUGUGGCCCCUGUGCAGUUGCCCCAUAAAAGAGUUUGGAACCUAAACAGAGGAUACAGAAAGUUGGAAGGAAAAGAUACGGUUUGAUCUGCAGUUUUUACAGCCAGGAAACUCAGAGUGGGAAUAGUGUGCUGCCUAUCAGGAUGGUGGAGAAGCUAUAAAAGGAGAAAAAGUGAUUGAAGGCAUUUUGUCAGAAGUGAACGUACAGGAGUAGUUUUAAGCGAAAAAAAAGAGGGACUAAGGAUGUCCAAUGGAUUAAACUUUUCCUGACAAAAAUCAUCACUUCCAGAGUGAAGACUGAAGCCAAAUCUCUUGAGUCCUGGCCCCGUAUGUCAUCUGCAGUGGGAUUUUGUUCUGAGGUUGGAGUUCCAUGAUGUUACAGAUUUAUGCAAGAGGAAUGGUUGCAGUAAGAGAUGUAGGGAUCUGCUUUGUAAAAACAAAACUUAACUGUAAAACCUUAUAACAAAGCGUGGACAAUGGACAAUAUUAUGACUUCAAGAUUAUGAAGAUUACAAAAAUUGAGAAGUGCUUCUCUUGCAUUUAAUUUCUGUAGUGUUUAACUCUGGAAUCAGAUUUCUCUUCCUGUUUUCAAUAUUUAUAGAGCCAACCAUGAAAUCAGAGAGGUUUCAACUGGAAAUAAGGAAGCAUUUGACUUUGACACUAAAAUUAAUUAAACUGUUAUUACAUUGAUCUCUACAGCAUCUGUUCCACUUGUAUGCAGAAAUGCUAGUGCGUGCUACGAGGCCAAUUCAUACUGGUGGAAUUGGAUGCUGUGAUCAGCCAUAUGCUGAUAAAAUUAUUCUUUUGUCAGCAUGUCUGGCUGGAAUUGCUUCAGGAGCUGGAAACGAUGAAAGCAACAAUGAUCAAUGCUCAGUGCUUAAGAUUGCUGAUGUGAAAGGGACUUUUGGGUUAGUUCCAUACUCCACGUACACUUCAUACCUCACAUACAGGUUGGCAAGCCUGGUCUAGUGUAAGGACCUAAAAAUGGGUGUUUAGAGCACUGAGUUUUGAGACAAAACUGUUUACUGAAUGGGGCAUGACUUGUUUGCAAAGCUCCAUCCAAAUCCAGUCCAGUUGAAUAUUUGAAUCCAGGAGUUCUGCCGCUUUGGGGGAGUUGAGUCAGACCCCAGAGGAGUCGGGGUAGUAGAAAGCUGACCUCAAAACCCCGCUAACUGAGCCCAUCUGGUGGAAGAUAUAGGUACACAGGUUUGUUUGUUGGCUGGUUCUUGAUGAUGUGUCAGCAUUAUGCUUGUGUAGCUUAUAGGCAGAUCAGCCACUGGAAGGGAACUGGAAAGGGAAAAAAGGAACCAGCCAUUGCAGUGGUUUGGAGAGUAAUGACAGAGGAAUUGGCUCAGUCUGGAGGUUAUCUGCAUUCUUCCCAGUGUGGUCAGUGUCGCACACUGAACCCUGUAGGGCUUUAAAAAAAAAAAAAAAAGACAUGGGCCAAAUUUAUCCGUGGCUAAAGAUGCCAUGAUGAUGAGCAGAGCAUCAUCUGAUUGUCUGGGCACUGUCCAUAUCUGUAAUUAGUCCCUAAAUAAACACCUGAAACACAGCUGUUACAAGCUUUUUUUAGGAAGUGGCCAUUUAAAAAUUGAUAUUAUGUUGGAGAAUUUUCUUUUCAUAGUUUCAGUUGAAAGCAAUUCUCUUCAAGCCUUGAAAAAAUGUGUAAUUAUUUGCUUUUACAAUUAAAGCCAUAGAAGUGGCUAGCUGUUAUUGCAUGCUCCUUGAAAGCAUGCUAUCGCUUUUGAUGGCUGUGAUAUUAUUAAUCAUUUAAUUAUCAUCAGAGGAUUAAAAAAAAUGCCCAAGUGAAUACAAACACCUUCUCUUUAAAGACUUAAUCUGAACAUUUCUGGGUUCCUAUGUGUGUUGUUGGGCACUUGUCAGGGUGUUGCUGUAACUCUGUGCACACCUGCCACACUCUCCAUGGGCACAACCUGCAGCUCUGAGAGCGUGCAAGAAAGCUGAUGCUUUGUAACAGCUCCAUCAGAUGUCACCACAAGGUAUUUGUCUGUCAGCAAAGGCCAGCUAAGUGAUUAGCUGACACAGCUACUCACUGUAUGGGUCACUGGCAAAACAGACAGGUUCAAAAAUUUAAGACAUUUGUUACAACUCCUCCCAAAUAUCUUGCCUGCUUCAUUCAGCUAUCGGUUCAGUUGUCUGGUGCAGGCAGAAUAACACAUGUUGGCACUUAAAAUAUACUGUUUACAAAUAGCCAGUCAGCCCAUUGGGGGCAUAAAUACUGAAUUUUGUUUGUCUGGAGGGGAAAUUCUUGGCCUUGCUAGGGCUGCAUUUGCUGUCUCUGGUAACAUGGAAAGGAAAGGCAGCCCAUCUUCCAUGCCGAGCACCGUGUGUGUACACACUUGCACCAGUGCAGCAUCAUAACUAUUUUAAAUUUCUUAACUCUGGCCUCAAGUUUUGUGUCCUGUUUACAAAGUUGUAUGAAAAUCCAGAUCAGUCCAUGAAGCUGGUUUUAAGAGAUGGAUUUUCUGUCUCCAGAAGUGCAGCUAUCUCAAUCCACACUGAAACGGGAAAGUUGUGAUCAUCAAGCUGCAUUUGAGACUUCUCCUUCCUACUUCCUUUACUGUGAAAUACAUCCCGGGGAUGGUUUCAUGGUUUAAAGCAAAUAAAUAAAUAAAUUAGUGGUAACCUCCUAGCCCUAUAGAUGAGAAAGUAUAAAUGAGGGUUACAAUUGUGAGCUAUAACAACUCAUAAAUCCCAGUGCCCGAAGACUGUAAUAAACAAGUACCAAAGGUCUAUGGUGGAACUGAUGGCUUAAGAAAUGGACAGUCUUUUCUUGUUACAAUACAAGGAAAAAGCUGACCUGUUUUUCUUAAUUAACGCUGUGCUUGGCAUUGAGUUAGGAAGGUUAAAAGUUGCUUUCCAUUUAACACUUAAUUUUUUUGAGAACUACCCUAAUGAUAUGCUACAUCGAAGUUCCAUAAGGGCCUGGUUUCUUGAAUUGCCUUCUCUGCACUCAUGCAUGUGAUUCUCUCUUGAAAUGAUGAUGGCCGGUGAUGAAAACUAAAGGAUGGGUGCAAAGUGAUCCUGCCGGCCAAAAAAGUUGCAUAGAUGGAGGAAGCUAAAGAGUGGUUUUUAUGAAAUAUGGAAGAGUCAAGAGUGACUGAAAGUUGCAGGAUAUAUUUAGAUAGAAGAAGAUCGUGUUCUGUGUCUAGUUUCCAUGGUGGCAAAGUCUUAACUAAAUCCUCAUAUAAUAAAAAUAAAAGUAGACAGAAACAUACUCUUUUAAAUUUUGAUUACGUGUCAGAGGGGCGGUAGGAUUUGAAGAUCUUGUCAACAGACAAAACAGAAGUAUUAUUCUUUUGUAGGAUUCAUCACAAAAAAUAUACUACUCAGUUUACCACAAACACAAAUGUUGAGAGAUAUAGCCAAAGAACAUUUGGUACCGUGUGUAAAGGACUUUAUGUAACUUACACUGGAUUUAAAGCACCCAAAAAAGGCCUGCAUUCUCCUAAUAUUAAGGGUUUGACUUCAGGCUGAGAGAGCAAAGCUGCUCAGACCCUGAAAGCCAAGUGUUCUGCUGAGUCUGUUUUCUAAAAGACAUGUAGCAUCUCUCUGAGAGGCAUGAUGAAGGGAAAUAAAUCUACCACUCCUUCAUCUGUCCUCCAGCCCUCCAUUUAGUAACCCAUUUUCACAAAUCUUAAUAAAAUCAGUGUCUGUAUUUUAAGGUACCUGUAUUUUUACUUCCCAUAAAAAAUGGAAAAAACAUUAAACCCAUGAGCACUUCCCCCCUUUUUAAAAAAACUAAAGGAGGAGAAAUUUAUCAGAGAAUGCAUCUCCAACUACUUCCAUGUGUUUUUGAGUAUGGUUGAAAAUAAAGAUGGCUUUAUUCUGAUGAAGCUCAUGUACGAUCCACUGCAGUAUUUGAGCAGUCCUGUCCUCAAGAUUUCUGAGACUCCUUGAAGUUACACAAGUUUAUGGAUGCCAGCAGCUUUGCAAUACCAAGCCAUGGCUCUGCACUCAGGCUAAUUACUGCUGAAGUCAAAGGGAGCUGGAUUGUUUCCUGCCAGAAAGUGCUUGAGCUUCAGCAGAAUGAAUUCUGCGUGCGGAACCGUUUGCGUGAGUCUUACUGUUUUCCAUCCUGAAUGUUGAAAUUGAGGCAGAACAGAAAUUAAGCAGUUUGCCAGAGACUGAACAGAGAGGGGGAAAGAGGUGACUCCCAAGAUAUAUUCAUCAGCUGGCAGACUCCUCUGUCCUACCAUCAUGCAUUGCAAGGAAAAUUAACUACCUAAUGAAAUGAUUUUGAAAGGACUUUUUUUAGCAUCUCCCUCAGCUGUUUUUUUGGUAGAGGAAAAUAGCGAUCUUAGCCAAAACUGUAUUCCUGUAAUGUCCAAAUGCUACUCAAGCACCAGUACUAACAAGAGCAGGAUUGCUCCUGUAUGUUUGUCCUGCGCUUUGCUCUGUACUAAAUGCUGGAUCAGGUGUUACUCCCCACUGUUCAGAAAACAGGAGAGGCAUAUUCACAUGAGAGGUUCUAAAACUCAUCAAAUUCAUUGUUAAUCAGGAAGGGGUAGCGGAGAGAGCCCUGCGUAUAACUCUUGCUGAAUUCUUGCAAGAAAAAAGUCUGGCCUCAAGUAUAUUUAAAUUUUUACUGCCAAGUUAAAACCUUGCACACACAAAAAAAUAUCUUACAAUGGAAAUGCUGACAGGUCCUUAACUAUAGUAGCAGUAGCAGUCUCAGCUAUAAUAAAGAUAUUGCAUGUUAUCAAUAAUCCUCUUUUUGCCUGAAUCCCUGUCUUUCUAAAGAGAAAGGGCUUACUGACUGGGCAAAUCUAUUUAUAAAUUUUGUCUUGGCACAAGAGGAACGUAUUGACAAUGCAGUGGAGAUCUGGGGAGGCAGCUGGUCUGACUGCACGCAAGCAGCAAGCUGAGUGUCAAAGCAGGGCACUUAAAUUUUUCUCUCAUUCCUCUAAAAGAGAGAGUGUGGGAAUUAGGAAUUAAAAAAAAAAAAAAAAGCUCUCCUUUGAACAAGGCAAGGUCAGAGGAGUUACAAAAGAUGGAGUAAACUGUCAUACUUGGCUUGCUGAAGAGCUUUGAAGGGCUUUCACAUGCUGCGUACCAUUGGACAGAGUCACCUGAACUGGGAAACAGGGUGUGCAUAUAUUUACGCUGUACAGAGGCAGGUGUACCAGGACAGCCCCAGCUCAUAUGGGGUGAUGGGUUGACCCUGACUGCACACCACAUGGCCCCCAAAGCUGUUCUAUCACUCCCUUCCUCAACUGGAUGGGGGAGAGAAAUGUAAUAAAAUGCUUGUGAGUUGAGAUAAGGACAGGGAGAUCACUCUUCAGCUACCAUCCCAGGCAAAACAGACUUGACUUGGGGAAAUUAGUUUAAUUUAUUACCAAUCAAAUCAGAGUAGGACAAUGAGAAAUAAAAG